rnacentral:rRNA from 1 species
CAGCAGCCGCCGCGGGAAUACGAAGGGUGCAAGCGUUACUCGGAAUUACUGGGCGUAAAGCGUGCGUAGGUGGUGGUUUAAGUCCGUUGUGAAAGCCCUGGGCUCAACCUGGGAAUUGCAGUGGAUACUGGGUCACUAGAGUGUGGUAGAGGAUAGUGGAAUUUCCGGUGUAGCAGUGAAAUGCGUAGAGAUCGGAAGGAACAUCUGUGGCGAAGGCGACUAUCUGGGCCAACACUGACACUGAGGCACGAAAGCGUGGGGAGCAAACAGGAUUAGAUACCCCGGUAGUCCCUGUCUCUUAUAC